AUACGUAGGGGGCGAGCGUUGUCCGGAAUGAUUGGGCGUAAAGGGUGCGUAGGCGGCCUUGUAAGUCAGAUGUGAAAGUUCAUGGCUUAACUGUGGUAAGCAUUUGAAACUGCAGGGCUUGAGUACAGGAGAGGAGAGUGGAAUUCCUAGUGUAGCGGUGAAAUGCGUAGAUAUUAGGAGGAAUACCAGUGGCGAAGGCGACUCUCUGGACUGAUACUGACGCUGAGGCACGAAAGCGUGGGGAGCAAACAGGAUUAGAUACCCUGGUAGUCCACGCUAUAAACGAUGAGUGCUAGGUGUCGGGGGUCAAACCUCGGUGCCGCAGUUAACACAUUAAGCACUCCGCCUGGGGAGUACGGCCGCAAGGCUGAAACUCAAAGGAAUUGGCGGGG
rnacentral:rRNA from 1 species